GUGUCAGCCGCCGCGGUAAUACGUAGGGUGCGAGCGUUAAUCGGAAUUACUGGGCGUAAAGCGUGCGCAGGCGGUUGGGCAAGUCUGAUGUGAAAUCCCCGGGCUUAACCUGGGAACGGCAUUGGAGACUGCUCGGCUAGAGUGCGUCAGAGGGGGGUAGAAUUCCACGUGUAGCAGUGAAAUGCGUAGAGAUGUGGAGGAAUACCGAUGGCGAAGGCAGCCCCCUGGGAUGACACUGACGCUCAAGCACGAAAGCGUGGGGAGCAAACAGGAUUAGAAACCCUUGUAGUCC
rnacentral:rRNA from 1 species